AUUGAACGCUGGCGGCAGGCUUAACACAUGCAAGUCGAGCGGGGGAAGGUAGCUUGCUACCGGACCUAGCGGCGGAUGGGUGAGUAAUGCUUAGGAAUCUGCCUAUUAGUGGGGGACAACAUCUCGAAAGGGAUGCUAAUACCGCAUACGUCCUACGGGAGAAAGCAGGGGAUCUUCGGACCUUGCGCUAAUAGAUGAGCCUAAGUCGGAUUAGCUAGUUGGUGGGGUAAAGGCCUACCAAGGCGACGAUCUGUAGCGGGUCUGAGAGGAUGAUCCGCCACACUGGGACUGGGACACGGCCCAGACUCCUACGGGAGGCAGCAGUGGGGAAUAUUGGACAAUGGGGGGAACCCUGAUCCAGCCAUGCCGCGUGUGUGAAGAAGGCCUUAUGGUUGUAAAGCACUUUAAGCGAGGAGGAGGCUACUCUAGUUAAUACCUAGGGAUAGUGGACGUUACUCGCAGAAUAAGCACCGGCUAACUCUGUGCCAGCCGCCGCAGUAA
rnacentral:rRNA from 1 species